UAAAGAGGUAAGGGUUUUGCACUUUUGCAUAUUUUUAUUGCUAAAGUGUGAUUCUCUUAAAGAUACUGCCACAUCGGACUUCCUUCAAUGCUGAGGUACUUGCCAAUAGAGAUCAGCAGCUAUAAUUAAAUAUCACAAAGCUGAAGCAACUGAAAUACACAUCAGCUGAUCAGUUGAAGAGGUAAGAGUUUAGUACUUUUGCAUAUUUUGUUGCUAAGGUGCGAAUCUCUUACAGAUCUUGUCAUUGGAUUUCCUUCAAUGCUGAGGUACUUGCCAAUAGAGAACAGGAGCUAUAAUUAAAUAUCACAAAUCUGAAGCAAAUGGCAAGUUCCUGUUUCGGACUUCCUUCCAUGCUCAGGUACAUGCCAAUAGAGAGCAGAAGCUACAAUUGAAUGUUACAAGUCUGAAGCAACUGGAACAUUGAGAAAAGACUUACAUCACCCGAUCAUUUAAUAGAUCCUCAAACCUCAAACAUCCUUCAUUGUUGAAGUAUAUGUCGCAGCAAUCGCAAUUGAGCA